AGUGAACGCUGGCGGUAGGCCUAACACAUGCAAGUCGAACGGCAGCACAGUAAGAGCUUGCUCUUACGGGUGGCGAGUGGCGGACGGGUGAGGAAUACAUCGGAAUCUACUUUUUCGUGGGGGAUAACGUAGGGAAACUUACGCUAAUACCGCAUACGACCUACGGGUGAAAGCAGGGGAUCUUCGGACCUUGCGCGAUUGAAUGAGCCGAUGUCGGAUUAGCUAGUUGGCGGGGUAAAGGCCCACCAAGGCGACGAUCCGUAGCUGGUCUGAGAGGAUGAUCAGCCACACUGUAACUGAGCCACGGUCCAGACUCCUACGGGAGGCAGCAGUGGGGAAUAUUGGACAAUGGGCGCAAGCCUGAUCCAGCCAUACCGCGUGGGUGAAGAAGGCCUUUGGGUUGUAAAGCCCUUUUGUUGGGAAAGAAAAGCAGCAGGUUAAUACCCCGCUGUUCUGACGGUACCCAAAGAAUAAGCACCGGCUAACUUCGUG
rnacentral:rRNA from 1 species